CAAACUGAAGACGGCGACCGGCGCACGGGUGAGUAACACGUAUCCAACCUGCCGAUAACUCCGGAAUAGCCUUUCGAAAGAAAGAUUAAUACCGGAUAGUAUACGAAUAUCGCAUGAUAUUUUUAUUAAAGAAUUUCGGUUAUCGAUGGGGAUGCGUUCCAUUAGUUUGUUGGCGGGGUAACGGCCCACCAAGACUACGAUGGAUAGGGGUUCUGAGAGGAAGGUCCCCCACAUUGGAACUGAGACACGGUCCAA
rnacentral:rRNA from 1 species